rnacentral:rRNA from 1 species
GACGAACGCUGGCGGCAUGCCUUACACAUGCAAGUCGAACGGAGUGGCGAACGGGUAAGUAAUGUAUCGGAACGAGCCCAUUAGCGGGGGAUAACUACGCGAAAGCGCAGCUAAUACCGCAUACGAUUGGAGCGGUCGAUGCGGGAUUAGCUAGAUGGUGGGGUGACGGCUCACCAAGGCGACGAUGCGUAGCUGGUUUGAGAGGACGACCAGCCACACUGGGACUGAGACACGGCCCAGACUCCUACGGGAGGCAGCAGUGGGGAAUCUUGGACAAUGGGCGAAAGCCUGAUCCAGCCAUGCCGCGUGUGCGAAGAAGGCCUUCGGGUUGUAAAGCACUUUUGGCAGGGAAGCGGUACCUGCAGAAUAAGCACCGGCUAACUACGUGCCAGCAGCCGCGGUAAUAC